rnacentral:lncRNA from 1 species
AUGGAGAGGCGCGCGGGGCGGGUGGAAACGCGUGCUCGCCCCGCACCUCCGCAUCCGCGAGGGGAGGCUCCUGCCCCGCGCCGCAGCCAGUCCCCGCGCGCUCGCCCCCGCGCCUCCCUCCCGCGCCCCCGCUCCUCCGGCCGCCCCCGCGCCCCCCGCCGCCUCCUCCGCCCGUGGACCGCUGCGCGCUGCUGCCCCGGGGGGCUGGCGUUUCCACCUGUCACCGCGCCGCCGCCGCCGCCGCCCAAGUUUUCAGGGAACUUACCUGGCGCGUCGUGUGCCUCAGGCUCUUCCCCAUGGCCGCCGCCCCCUCCUCCCGCCAGCUCCCCGGGCCCCCCGCGCCCCCCGCCCAGCCCUGCGGCCGCCGGGCCCGAUGAACGCCAGCAGCGGGGACUCGGGGGGUGGGAGCCCCGCGCGCAGCCGCCCGCACCCGAGCGCUCCUGCUUCCGAGCAGCCACGCAGCGUCCGUCCGGGGCAGGAGCAUUGCGGAUGCGGCGCGGGGCCGGCGCGGGGCUCCGGGCGCUCUCGGGGGUCGUGAGCGCCGCGCCCCGCGCCCCCGCACGCCCCCCACCGGCCCGCGCGCCCCGCCGGGGCCAUGCAGUCUCUCAUGUCGCCGGUGACCAAGGCGAUCCUGGUGGCCCUGUUCAGCUUCGCCAUCCUCCUCAUCCUCUACGUGAUUCUCUGGUACAUCUGCCGCGAUGUGGACUGCGACCACGGCAUCUGAGCGCCGCCGGACCCCCGGGCCGCCACGCGGGGGGCGUCCGCGGCGGGAGGGCCCUGGGGACUGAGCGGUCCCGCGGUGCCCCCAGCUUGGCGCUGGAGACCCCCGCCCCGGGCCCCGCCGCCGGCCCUGCACCGCCUCCUGGCCUUGACCUUCAGCGACGCGCCGGGGAGAGCGGGUCCCCUAAGGCGCUGGAGAACGCUGGCGGCUGUGGAGUCAUGUGUUUGCAUGCAUGACAGGUGCCAGCCAGGGAGCUGUGGGCACAUCACCCUGGGAAGCCAGCACCCACAGGCCAGGACUGCAGCGUGCAGGGAUGGAUCUCUGAAGGUCACUGCUCCGCCCUGCUCUGAAGACUGUCCACCAGCAUGUCAACGCAGCUUCCCUGCGGGGGUUGAAGGGUGGGAAGACUGUCAGUCAGGAUUAAGGCCAUCUCCCCCGCCCAUCACUCCUUCUGCCAAGCCAUCACCAGGCAGCCGGGACUCAUGGGCAGUGUCACCUCCGGGGCCAUGCUGGCAUCUGUAACCUCCAUCCACCCUCGAGGUCCCAUCCAGCCAGCUCUGCCCACCUGCCUGGCCCAGUCUGUUGUGAAGUUUCACGCUCCUUCCUCUUGUGCAGAGUCGGAAUUCACGGGGGUCGCCAUGCCCACAGGUACCCCAGUGGAAGUGUUGACUCUUAUUACUGGCUAGACCCAUCCAGAGGACAAACCAGCUUCAGAGAAUGCCAUCGUUAAAGUAGGUGCCACUGGGGGGUUUCCGCACUUAACUCUCCGAUGCUGUCCCCGCCAUCAACCUGAUACAGACUUCGUCCGCUGCGAGAUCACUUCCUCUCAAGUGCAGACCAGAUCCCCCAGGGAAGAGACUCCUCGUCCUCAUUGUUGCCAAGUGACCCCGAAUAUUCCUCUCCUGCCUGUUGCAGAAAAGGAAAAGUCACGUUCUGGAAGAACAGCAUUGCCCUACAAAUACAAACGAGAGACUCUGCACCUAGAACAAGAGUCCCGGAAAUUUCCAGAAGCAAAUCUCUCACUUGUGACCAUCAGAUUCCACCUGAUGCCUAAUGCACCUUCUCAAAUCUCAUCACGUGUGACAGCCGCAACGCCCGGUCCAGUGGCCACACAGGACUCUCCGCUGUGUUUCUUCUGCUUCCUUUAACGCACAAGAGUGAAGAGAUGAGGACGAAGGCGGGCGGAACACUGGUCUCUCUGAAUGCCCUGGACCGACAGCAGCCCUGGUCACCCACUCACCAUCCUGUCCAUAUGCACCCUGGUGAGCAUUUUCUAGAAGCUCCCAUGGUUCCGUGUUUGUAGGUGUGAUGUGUGCCACCUCCGAGGCUGUCGUAGCUUCCACCUCCUCUGUCUGCAGAGAGGCCACAAAGACAGAGCUGAGAAAUUAUGGCUAUCCCAGAAAAUAAAAUAUUUUUUGAAACCACACAGCACAGGUGUGGGUCUUUGUGUCACUGUGAAAACAGAACCCUGCAUACCGUUAGCUUGGUAGCAUUUGGAUGACAGACAGAGUAUUCAUGGGCCCUGCAGAGAAGUACGGGUGGAAAUGCAUUUAUCACCUGAGCUUGGUACAGUCUGCUCUUGGUACAUUUUUUUAUUUUUUUGAGAUGGAGUCUCACUCUGUCCCUCAGGCUGGAGUUCAGUGGCACGAUCUCAGCUCACUGCAACCUCUGCAGCUGGGAUGACAAGCUCCUACUAUCAUGCCUGGCUGAUUUUUGUAUUUUUAGUAGCGAUGGGGUUUCCCCAUGUUGGCCAGGCUGGUCCCAAACUCAUGACCUCAGGUGAUCCGCCCACCUCAAUCUCCCAAAGUGCUGGGAUCCCAAAGUGUGAGCUGGGUGGCCUCUGGCUGCAUCUACAAAAUGAGAUGCCUCCCGUAUGGUCUCCAUAGGUGUGGGAAGGGAUGCCUUCUAUUAAAAUAACCACUAAAAAGGCAGUGUCAGAGCUCCCAUGAUGAUUUUAACACCCAAGCUCUUCUGAGGUCAUUUUCCUAAAGGAGGUCUGCUUUCUCCAUGUCUGAGAACACAGAACAUAUUCUCACCCUGUACACAGAGGAGCACCGCACUUCACACUCGCGGGUCUCAGCUUUCCCUGGGCAGGGUCUCAACGUGGGAGCCCGAGCACAAGGCAGAAAAACCUGCCAUAAGAUUCACACAAGCACCUCCACCUGCUCCAGAACAGGGUCAAAGGCUAAGAGAAAAAGUCUGAAAAACCAUAUUUUAUAAGUACAAUCUUAAUUGCACUUGUGAUUAAAAAAAACAUGGUUUUGUUUUUGUUUUUGUUUUUGUUUUUUUGAGUCAGAGUCUCACUCUGUCACCCAGGCUGGAGUGCAGUGAUGUGAUCUCUGCUCACUGCAACCUCCACCCCCCGGGUUCAGGCAAUUCUCUUGUCUCAGUCUUCAGAGUAGCUGGGACAACAGGUGUGCGCCACCACGCCCGUGUAAUUUUGUAUUUUUUUUUUUUUUUCAUUUUUUAGUAGAGAUGGGGUUACGGCAUGUUGGCCAGACUGGUCUCGAGCUCCUGACCUCAGGUAAUCUGCCCACCUCGGCCUCCCAAAGUGCUGGGAUUACAGGAGUGAGCAACCACAUCUGGUCAACUCAUGUCUUAAUACACUUAUUUUAUUAUUAACCCCAAGAAGGAAAAUGUGGCAGACACAUGGCUAAGGGUUACUUUUCAUAUCUACACGGCGAAAGACCAAGAUGGCUGGGUGAGGUGCAUACAUUCCUCUGGAAAAGGGGCCUUUAUACUCUUGGGGUGACGGGCGGCCUACAAUAAUUGUCUUUCAUCCGAGAGAACAUAGGAAGAUUGUCAAGAAGUGUGUGGGACACCGGGUGCGGUGGCUCACACUUGUAAUCCCAGCACUUUGGGAGGCCAAGGCUGGUGGAUCACAAG